CUUAGCGGCGAUGACGCAAAGGAAACACCCGUACCCAUACCGAACACGGCAGUUAAGCUUUGUAGUGCCGAAAAUACUUGGCUGGCGACGGCCCGGGAACAUAGGAAGCUGCUAAGA
rnacentral:rRNA from 1 species